rnacentral:other from 2 species
UUCCUCCUGCGGUGUUCGAGACUAGCCCGGAAGUCUUUCGACCCUAACUUUCAGAUUUGGGAUCAAUGGUCUGUCGACAGCUUUGUGCAAAACCGCUUCAAGCGGAUAGCCUGCUCUGUCACGGCUGAUCCCACCUUCCGCUCUGGUUCGAGAGCAAGAGGUCUAUCACGGCACAUGCGGGAGGAAC